rnacentral:ncRNA from 2 species
GUCCGCGUGAGGAAAAAACGCCACACGGAGUGGAAACAAGGACACACUCCCUAGAAGCGUUUUAGAG